UCCAUUCCCCGGGACCCCGGGGUGAAAGAAUGAGAGAAGCCGGCAAGAGGGCGCCGCGCCCCUCCCUCGCAGGCCCCCUCCCCCUCCUCGCCGGUCCCCUUCUUCCUCGCGGUGCACCGCGCUGGCUGCGGAGCCACCGCGCGCUGGCGCCGCGGGAAUUGCCUCCUCCUCCUCCGGCCCCAGCCCAGCCCUCCUGGGCGCCGGCUGGCCGCGCUCCGGCCGAGCCAGGAGAGGAACCCCCUCCUGGGUGGCCUGACAUGCUGAAGACCAGAGAAGACUGCAGUUCAAGUCCAAAGGCACUCUGCUUACAGAAUUCCUUCUUCAUCAGAGAAGAAUUUUAAAAAAUGAAACUUGUGAAGAUUUGGAACAAUUUGUUAGAAAGGAAAGAAGGAAGAAGAAGAAAAGAAAAGAAAAGAAAAGAAAAAAGGAAA